rnacentral:tRNA from 1 species
GUUUUAAUAGUUUAAAAUAAAACACUGAUCUUGUAAAUCAGAAAUAUGUAUAACUUUUAAAACU